rnacentral:snRNA from 1 species
AGGAAUUUUUACUCUUUUAGUAUUUUUCUAGGAGGUCUUCAUGUAAUGAAGACCCAC